rnacentral:tRNA from 1 species
UGAGGUUAUAGCUCAGUUGGUAGAGUUCUUGCCUCACAUGCAUAAGGCCCUGGGUUCAAGCCCCAGCACCACAA